UGCGAGAAAGCUUUCUUCGGAGAGUGAGUAGAGCGGCGCACGGGUGAGUAACGCGUGGGUGACCUACCCAUAAGACUGGGAUAACAGCCGGAAACGACUGCUAAUACCGGAUAUGCUCCAUGUUUAACUAUAUGGGGUAAAGGUGGCCUCUACUUGUAAGCUACCGCUUUUGGAUGGGCCCGCGUCUCAUUAGCUAGAUGGUAAGGUAACGGCUUACCAUGGCUACGAUGAGUAGCUGGUCUGAGAGGAUGAUCAGCCACACUGGGACUGGAACACGGCCCAGACUCCUACGGGAGGCAGCAGUGGGGAAUAUUGCGCAAUGGGCGAAAGCCUGACGCAGCGACGCCGCGUGCGGGAAGAAGGCCUUCGGGUCGUAAACCGCUGUCGGGAGGGAAGAAACCAUUAGGGUCGAAUAGGCCCUUUUGCUGACGGUACCUCCAGAGGAAGCACCGGCUAACUCCGUGCCAGCAGCCGCGGUAAUACGGAGGGUGCAAGCGUUAAUCGGAAUCACUGGGCGUAAAGCGUGCGUAGGCGGCAUGGCAAGUCAGGGGUGAAAGCCCUCGGCUCAACCGAGGAAUUGCCUUUGAAACUGCUAGGCUUGAGUACUGGAGAGGCAGGCGGAAUUCCGGGUGUAGGGGUGAAAUCCGUAGAUAUCCGGAGGAACACCAGUGGCGAAGGCGGCCUGCUGGACAGAUACUGACGCUGAGGUACGAAAGCGUGGGGAGCAAACAGGAUUAGAUACCCUG
rnacentral:rRNA from 1 species